CACGAGCGCACCCCUUUCCUUAGUUGCCAGCACAUAAUGGUGGGGACUCUAAGGAUACUGCCCGGGAUAACCGGGAGGAAGGUGGGGAUGAUGUCAAGUCAGUAUGUCCCUUAUGUCCAGGGCUACACACGUGUUACAAUGGCCGGUACAAUGGGUUGCCAACCGCGAGGUGGAGCCAAUCCCAAAAAACCGGUCUCAGUUCAGAUUGGAGUCUGCAACUCGACUCCAUGAAGCAGGAAUCGCUAGUAAUCGCGCAUCAGCACGGCGCGGUGAAUACGUUCCCGGGUCUUGUACACACCGCCCGUCACGCCAUGGAAGUCGGCAAUACCCGAAGCCGGUGACCUAACCCGCCUUUUGGCGGGAAGGAACCGUCGAAGGUAAGGCUGGUAACUGGGGCGAAGUCGAAACAAGGUAGCCGUACCGGAAGGUGCGGCUGGAUCA
rnacentral:rRNA from 1 species